rnacentral:rRNA from 1 species
AUUAUGGCUCAGGAUGAACGCUGGCGGCGUGCUUAACACAUGCAAGUCGAACGGGAUCUUCGGAUCUAGUGGCGGACGGGUGAGUAACGCGUGAGGAUCUGCCCUUAGGACGGGGACAACGACUGGAAACGGUCGCUAAUACCCGAUGUGCCGAGAGGUGAAACACUUUAGUGCCUGAGGAUGAACUCGCGUCUGAUUAGCUAGUUGGUAGUGUAAUGGACUACCAAGGCGACGAUCAGUAGCUGGUCUGAGAGGAUGAUCAGCCACACUGGGACUGAGACACGGCCCAGACUCCUACGGGAGGCAGCAGUGGGGAAUUUUCCGCAAUGGGCGAAAGCCUGACGGAGCAACGCCGCGUGAGGGAUGACGGUCUGUGGAUUGUAAACCUCUUUUCUCAAGGAAGAAGAACUGACGGUACUUGAGGAAUCAGCAUCGGCUAACUCCGUGCCAGCAGCCGCGGUAAUACGGAGGAUGCAAGCGUUAUCCGGAAUUAUUGGGCGUAAAGCGUCCGUAGGCGGUUUUACAAGUCUGCUGUUAAAGCGUGCAGCUUAACUGCAUAUAGGCAGUGGAAACUGUAAGACUAGAGUGUAGUAGGGGUAGAGGGAAUUCCCAGUGUAGCGGUGAAAUGCGUAGAUAUUGGGAAGAACACCGGUGGCGAAAGCGCUCUACUGGGCUACAACUGACGCUGAUGGACGAAAGCUAGGGGAGCGAAAGGGAUUAGAUACCCCUGUAGUCCUAGCCGUAAACGAUGGACACUAGGUGUUGACCGUAUCGACCCGGUCAGUGCCGUAGCCAACGCGUUAAGUGUCCCGCCUGGGGAGUACGCUCGCAAGAGU